UACGUAGGGGCUAGCGUUAUCCAGAAUUACUGGGCGUAAAGGGUGCGUAGGUGGUUUCUUAAGUCAGAGGUGAAAGGCUACGGCUCAACCGUAGUAAGCCUUUGAAACUGGGAAACUUGAGUGCAGGAGAGGAGAGUGGAAUUCCUAGUGUAGCGGUGAAAUGCGUAGAUAUUAGGAGGAACACCAGUUGCGAAGGCGGCUCUCUGGACUGUAACUGACACUGAGGCACGAAAGCGUGGGGAGCAAACAGGAUUAGAUACCCUGGUAGUCCCUGA
rnacentral:rRNA from 1 species